rnacentral:pre_miRNA from 1 species
UGAGGCAACCAGGUGCCACUAAUUGCCAGGGAGUGGGCUUGACACAAGGUCAUGCUCACUCCCUGGCAAUUAGUGGCACCUGGUUGCCUCAUUUCACU